AUUGAACGCUGGCGGAAGGCUUAACACAUGCAAGUCGAACGAGUGGCGGACGGGUGGGUAAUGCUUGGGAAUCUGGCUUAUGGAGGGGGAUAACGACGGGAAACUGUCGCUAAUACCGCGUACCAUAGGAUGAGCCAAAGGGGGAUUAGGUAGUUGGUGGGGGAAUGGCCUACCAAGCCGACGAUCUCUAGCUGGUCUGAGAGGAUGACAAGCCACACCGGGACGGAGACACGGCCCGGAGUCCUACGGGAGGAAGCAGUGGGGAAUAUUGCGCAAUGGGGGCAGCCUGAGACAGCCAUGCCGCGGGAAGGAAGAAGGCCUUCGGGUUGUAAAGUUCUUUCGGUGACGAGGCGUUAAUCACAGAAGAAGCACCGGCUAACUCCGUGCCAGCAGCCGCGGUAAUUC
rnacentral:rRNA from 1 species